CGUCCCCCCGCUAGGCCCGACGCCCCCCCGCUGCCCCCAGGCCGGGCCGCAGCCGCUCCUCCCCUGCCCCGCAAGGCGAGCGGCCCUUAACCGCCAUCUCUGCCCGCUGCCGGGCACCGAGCCGACGCCGCCCGGCCCGGUUACCUGGGCUCUCCCUCCCCCGCCCAUGCGGCGCCGCUGCCGCUCUGCCCUCCGCCAUCAGCGGGGCGCCAUGCCGCAGCCCGCCGCCUGCCCGGCCUCGCCUCGCCUCCCGGCAGCGCCCCGAGGUAGCCCCGUGUUAUUUUCGUCCUCGCCUCCCGGCCGACAUUGUGGCUUGAGGUUGGCGGUCACCGAGCGGCGUGAGGGAGACGCCUCACCGCCCGCCGGGGCGGCCCUGCGGAGGCGGUGAGGGGAAAGAGGAGCGGCAGGGGCGGUGAGGUCAGGUGAAGGGAAGUUCUGCAUUAAGAGCUGUAGAAGAUCCCACUUUUGACAAGUGCUUUUGGAAUUCAUUCAAAAUAUGAUCAUAGAGACCCAUUCAGUGCAGACACCCCUGAAGUGAAGGGCAGAGGGCUGUUGAUCAACAGCAGUUGAAAAUAUUUUGGCUAGAAAUAGCUGGUGACUGUGCUUUGGCAGGAAGCUUCAAGAUGGAGAGCCUAUUUUUAACAGGAGUCAGUCAGCCGCUUCCAGAUUAGGGAAUACAAAUAAAAGGAUCAUACUUGUCAAAGGCAAAAGAGUUCCUUAGAAUCUACAGGUAUGUCAGAUAUGGUGCUCCAGCAGUUUUCUUCCUCCUCAAAAGUAAGAAAACAGUGUUUGUGUGUUUCUAUGUUUCCAAUUUAUGCAUUUACAAUAUGUAAUUCUGUGACUUUUUUUUUCCUAUUAUCUACUAGAGCUUUUCUAUACCCUUUUUUGAUGUAUUUAUUAUAUAUAAUGGAAAGCCUUUUUCUGGUCUGUUACUGUUUCUUCCAUACUUAACUGCAUGUUACAUGAAGAUCUAUAAAGAUACAUGUAGUAUCACUGUAAAAAACAAAACAAAAAAAAUCUUGGAUUUUCCUCUCACUUUUUACUGCUCAAUUGAUCAUCUACAAUAGGCGAAGUUUUCACAUUUCUCUAAAGUGUCUUUAUGACAGGCUAGCUUGACUGAUGACAGAAAAAUAUGUGUCUACAUGGGUAUGGUAAUAAACUGACACAGUCAUUUUGAAUUAACUUACAUUUUCUGAAAGAGUUUAUCCUGGUCAUUCAUUUGAUCUGCCAAAAUAAAAAUAGGUAAAUAAUUUUGCUUGGAAGAAAGAAUGUUCACUGUGUUUUCUCAGAAGAAUAUCCUCACAGAAAAAAAAAUAGUUUUAUUUAAU